rnacentral:misc_RNA from 1 species
GUAGGUGAACCUGCGGAAGGAUCAUUAAAAUAUCAGAGUCAAAAUUCAGGCACAUUCUUAUACCAAGUAUAUGACUGGUUUUCUCUGGCCUUACUUUUGUAGUUUCAUAGAAUGUAUUGUGUUCAGGGAUCCACCAUAGAUGACACUCGUUAUUUUCUGGGGAAUACCUGUAUAAUGGCCCGGCGGGUUGAUCGAACGUUAUGUUCUACUGGCAUGUGAAUAUGGCGUUCGCUUAACCUCAUUAUGAUAC